rnacentral:rRNA from 1 species
GAUGAACGCUGGCGGCGUGCCUAAUACAUGCAAGUCGAGCGAACAGAUAAGGAGCUUGCUCCUUUGACGUUAGCGGCGGACGGGUGAGUAACACGUGGGUAACCUACCUAUAAGACUGGAAUAACUCCGGGAAACCGGUGCUAAUGCCGGAUAACAUUUAGAACCGCAUGGUUCUAAAGUGAAAGAUGGUUUUGCUAUCACUUAUAGAUGGACCCGCGCCGUAUUAGCUAGUUGGUAAGGUAACGGCUUACCAAGGCAACGAUACGUAGCCGACCUGAGAGGGUGAUCGGCCACACUGGAACUGAGACACGGUCCAGACUCCUACGGGAGGCAGCAGUAGGGAAUCUUCCGCAAUGGGCGAAAGCCUGACGGAGCAACGCCGCGUGAGUGAUGAAGGUCUUCGGAUCGUAAAACUCUGUUAUUAGGGAAGAACAAAUGUGUAAGUAACUGUGCACGUCUUGACGGUACCUAAUCAGAAAGCCACGGCUAACUACGUG